rnacentral:lncRNA from 1 species
GUUUUGGGAAGUAAGGAAAGGUGUUUCGGGGUGGGAGGGAUAUGAAGUAAGUGUCUUUUCAGAGUUAGUAAGACUACUAUCAGCACCACACGUCCCUUCUUUGCGUCGGUUAAGUGUGCAUCUCAGUACUUCAGGGAACGAGGUUUUCGCAAUAGGUUUUUCUUCUAGAUCUUCAGAGCACGCACUCCAAAUAUUCCUCUACAGAAGAGGUAAAUGUGUUAUUAGUAGCUGUACAAUUAAUAUGUUUUAUAGAGGGUAAUGCUAUAGUUAUGACUUGUGACAAGCAUCUAAUGUACAUUGAGCAAAGUAAUCGUGAUGACUGCUGUGGAUGUACCAUUUGAAAAGUACCAUGCAUAUGGUAUGGGAGGGCAAAUAUUUUUUUUCUGGGGAAGGGGUUGGGAACAAUAAGAAAGAUUGUCUUUACAGGUUUUGCAUCCGUGUUUGCAUCCCUGCAUUACCAUCAUUAUCGUAGAAUCGUGCAUCAGAUGAGGUAAAUAAGAGUUGUUUGGGGGUGGAGGGCAUGAAUUAAGUGUCUUUUCAGACUUAGACCACCAACAACAGCACACGUUUGACUUCUUUCGCUAAUGUCGUUCGUCUUGAGUACUGCAAACUAUGAGGUAUUUCUAGUGGUGGUGUUACAUGUCAUGGGGCACAAUUUCUUUACAGAUAUUAAGUGAUAGUUUCAGCAAAGUAACAUGUUGUGUGAAAAAUCAUGUUGACUUUGUAUCACACAUUCAAUUUGUCAAUUACUCAGCUUAAGAAAUCGGCUAUAAAACAAUACAAGUAAUUCUAGUGGAAGGGAUAAUUAGUGUGGCAGGUUGGGGUGUGUGUGAACUAACUGUCUUUUCAGGAGUUAAGAAUCUACCAGCAGCACCACACAGCACAUGACUUCGUCAUUUUGUCCCUGUUUGUACUAUACAGCCUUUAAGUGCUACAAAAAACAAAGAAAAAAAAACUGAAAAAAAACAAGGUAUUUCUAAUAAUGGAUUAUGUCAUAUUAAUAGACUUGAAUAAUUUGUUGUUACAGUCUAUGGGAUUCUUGGGGUUGGGAAGGGUGGGGGGGAAGAAUAAAUUAAUUUAUCUUUGCAGGUUUGUAUAGUAGAUAUUCAUCCAGAUUACCGUCGCAGCAAAUGAACAACUCAUAGAUAAGGUAAACAUUACUCGUCGUAGGCGGUGUCAGAAAUUUGUUCGUUAUAAAUAACUGUAGAAGUAAUAUUUGAUGGUUGUUUAGUGCAAUUAUGUGAUAUACUAAAUCCUGCUCAAAUCUAAACAACAUUUAUGUAUUUACAUAUAUUUAUAAAGGAGGGAUAAGGUAUUGGAAUGGGGUUGGGGGGGGACAAUAAAAAGUUGUCUUUACAGAGCUCGUACUGUUUUAUGGUUUCAUCCAGAUAGUGCGCUAUUAUCACCAUGACAGUGUGCACCGAAGAUAAGGUAACCCGCGGAAGUUUUAUUUGGGGAGUGGAUGGGGAAGUAUGAAUUAAAUAUUUUUCAGAGUUGGCAAGGCUUCAUCAACAGCAACAGAAAUCGUUGAAUCCACUCCAAUGAAUAAGGUAGUGGUCAUGACAGUAUUUAUUUUUUUUAAAUCUCUGGUAUAUUAAACAUGAAUAUAUAAGGGACAAUGCUGUUGGGUUGCAAUAGGUAGUGUGUGUUGAUUAAGAAGGGGGGGGGGCACAC